rnacentral:rRNA from 1 species
CCUACGUGAGGCAGCAGUGGGGAAUAUUGCACAAUGGGGGAAACCCUGAUGCAGCGACGCCGCGUGAGUGAAGAAGGAAUUCGUUAUGUAAAGCUCUAUCAGCAGGGAAGAAAAUGACGGUACCUGAGUAAGAAGCCCCGGCUAACUACGUGCCAGCAGCCGCGGUAAUACGUAGGGGGCAAGCGUUAUCCGGAUUUACUGGGUGUAAAGGGAGCGUAGACGGCAGUGCAAGUCUGGAGUGAAAGGCGGGGGCUCAACCCCCGGACUGCUCUGGAAACUGUACGGCUGGAGUGCAGGAGAGGUAAGUGGAAUUCCUAGUGUAGCGGUGAAAUGCGUAGAUAUUAGGAGGAACACCAGUGGCGAAGGCGGCUUACUGGACUGUAACUGACGUUGAGGCUCGAAAGCGUGGGGAGCAAACAGGAUUAGAUACCCCAGUAGUC